GAUGACAAGAAACAUGCAGUGCCGGGAAAUGAUGGAUGAUGUGCAGAGACAAAUGUCAGGUCUUAGUUUUCAGGAGAAUAAAGGUUCAAAUGGCUAUACUUAUCCUUCUGCUGCUCAGUCUCAUCAGGUUCCAAGAUCCAAUCCCCAACCGCCAGCAGACCCCGCGAAUAUCCCCAACGCUGUUCGACCUCCGGCUUCUACUUACCAACCCCCUCAUCAGCCUGCAAUGCCUGGUUAUACUCAAAAUCCACCACCUUAUGGUGCUCCACAGCCGCAGCCUCCACCGCCUUACAACUUGCAAGCUUCAGGUCCACCAUAUCCACCAACUCAACAUCAACAACAGCCUCCACCAAGCCACGAGUACGGCCAACCUGCAUAUCCGGGGUGGCGGGGUCCCUACUAUAAUGCACCUCCUCAGCAACCUGCACCUUUGCAGCAACAAGGUUCUAUGCCUCGACCUCCUUAUACCGUCCCUUCUCCAUAUCAUCUUCCUCCCCACCAGAGUGGCUAUUACCGGCAAUGAUAGUUUUUUUUAUCUUUCUACUUCCGCAGUAUAUUUUGAGUCAUUCUCAACAGGGGUUUCGAUUUGCUAGUUGUCCCCAUUGUUACUACCUCUCCAUUGGAUCACAUUAUGUAUGCAAGCAAGUUAAUGAAACACAUCUAGGUUUACCUGUAUGUAUAUAGUUAGCCUAUUUGUAUGAUUCUUUAUUCCGUGCGAUUACUUGAAUACA
rnacentral:misc_RNA from 1 species